ACGGAAGGCAGCAGUGGGGAAUAUUGGUCAAUGGGGGCAACCCUGAACCAGCGACGCCGCGUGAGUGAAGAAGUAUUUCGGUAUGUAAAGCUCUAUCAGCAGGGAAGAUAAUGACAGUACCUGACUAAGAAGCACCGGCUAAAUACGUGCCAGCAGCCGCGGUAAUACGUAUGGUGCAAGUGUUAUCCGGAUUUACUGGGUGUAAAGGGAGCGUAGGCGGUUUGGCAAGUCUGAUGUGAAACCCCGGGGCUUAACCCCGGGCAUGCAUUGGAAACUGUCGGACUAGAGUGUCGGAGAGGAAAGCGGAAUUCCUAGUGUAGCGGUGAAAUGCGUAGAUAUUAGGAGGAACACCAGUGGCGAAGGCGGCUUACUGGACGAUAACUGACGCUGAGGCUCGAAAGCGUGGGGAGCAAACAGGAUUAGAUACCCUGGUA
rnacentral:rRNA from 1 species